rnacentral:rRNA from 1 species
UACGUAGGGUGCAAGCGUUAAUCGGAAUUACUGGGCGUAAAGCGUGCGCAGGCGGUUUUGUAAGUCUGUCGUGAAAUCCCCGGGCUCAACCUGGGAACUGCAUCUGUGACUGCAUAGCUAGAGUACGGUAGAGGGGGAUGGAAUUCCGCGUGUAGCAGUGAAAUGCGUAGAUAUGCGGAGGAACACCGAUGGCGAAGGCAAUCCCCUGGACCUGUACUGACGCUCAUGCACGAAAGCGUGGGGAGCAAACAGG